UCGAGAAUUUUUCUCAAUGGGGGAAACCCUGAAGGAGCGACGCCGCGUGGAGGAUGAAGGUCUUCGGAUUGUAAACUCCUGUCAUUUGGGAACAAUGUGCACUGAUUAACUGUCGGUGUAUUGAUAGUACCAGAAGAGGAAGAGACGGCUAACUCUGUGCCAGCAGCCGCGGUAAUACAGAGGUCUCAAGCGUUGUUCGGAUUCAUUGGGCGUAAAGGGUGCGUAGGUGGCGGGGUAAGUCAGGUGUGAAAUCUCGGGGCUCAACCCCGAAACUGCAUUUGAUACUGCCUUGCUCGAGUACUGGAGAGGAGAUUGGAAUUUACGGUGUAGCAGUGAAAUGCGUAGAUAUCGUAAGGAAGACCAGUGGCGAAGGCGAAUCUCUGGACAGUUACUGACACUGAGGCACGAAGGCCAGGGGAGCAAACGG
rnacentral:rRNA from 1 species